AGGGUGUAAACGCUGCGGGCUUGGUGUUGGGGGUCCUUUGAGGGCGCCCAGUGCCGGAGAGAAGUUGUUAAGCCUGCUGCUUGGGGAGUACGUCCGCAAGGAUGAAACUUAAAGGAAUUGGCGGGGGAGCACCGCAACGGGAGGAGCGUGCGGUUCAAUUGGAUUCAACGCCGGACAACUCACCAGGAGCGACGGUUACAUGAAGGCCAGGCUGAUGACCUUGCCUGAUUUUCCGAGAGGAGGUGCAUGGCGUCAGUGACU
rnacentral:rRNA from 1 species